GUCGGACGCUUAACCGACUGCGCCACCCAGGUGCCCCAAAGUUGUUCAUUUUUAAUCUGCUCAGUCUGUAUAAAUGUGGGCACAAGGUUACUCUGUGAGCCUCAGGGAUUCGUGUCUUCUCUUAUUGGCGGAAAAUCAUGUGAUAUUUCUAUACUUUAUUUACUGUCUAAUCUGUGCUCUAAGUCCUUUUUGAAAGAUGGGAGACAGCAGUAGGGUGAGCAUUGCUUCUGAUGACUCCAUCAGUCCCAAAGCCGGUGACUUCAGAGGAAUUUAGCAAAGGGGAGUCUGGAGGAGACAUUUCAAUAGGUCACCUUUGGAGGAACUGACGUGGAGCAUUCUUUUGAUUCUGGACCCACCUCCUUUUAUUUUGUAAGGAAAAACAGAAAUGGUUGGCGAAAAAAAGAAUCCACAUAAAAAUGAUAUGUAGGGGUUUUUGAAUAAAAAUAAGUCAUAAGUAAGUAAUAAAUCCUCCGCAGGACCAUUGGAAAUGGAGAGCAAUAACCCCGUGUUUACCGCCUUACUCCCAAAGGGCAGAUAUUUAUUAUAAUUCAGAGCAAUUCAUUGUACUAGUCGGGCAUUUAUAAAAUUCUCAUCAUAGUAUUAGAGGAAGAACCCAUUUCCUAGGAAGUAUUGUGGUAAUAAACUGUAAUUAGUGGCUUGUAAACAGCCAUAAUUCAUUUCUUGAAGGAAAAGACGUGUGGGCAUUUAAGUACCUGGGUGCAAAUAGGCUCUCUGAGCAUUUGCGUCAGGCCCGGGGGCUCACGUGGAGAGCGUGGCGCGCACGCUGCCCCGGGCGGGGCUCGGUGCUGGAGGCUCCAGGCCGCCCCUCCGAGGCCGUUGGCGUCCCCCCGAUGCCAAGGGUCCAGCCCCAGCCGCAGCACAUAGUCCCCAUGCCACCCUCUGUUUUCCAGCUUGCCCGUCCCGGUGCACAGCAAGUCGGAUUCGCCAAGCGGAAGCCAGGUGGCCUACCUGGAAGAGGAAGCGAGGCAGGUGCCCACCGGCCGGGCUCACCACAACACGGUGUGAGACCUCGGGCUACAACACGGGACCCGGGCGCUGCUCCGACCCCUCGUGUCUUGUGUUGCAGCCGGAGGGACGCAGGUCCGCAGCGGAGCCCGCAACGCCGUCCCCCGCCCCCCGGACUCGAGACGGACGGCAGAAGGCCCAGCUGGGGCGAAGGUUACAGUGUUCAUUUCUGA
rnacentral:lncRNA from 1 species